AAGUCUAAAUGUUCCAAACUGCCAACACUGAUUGCCUUAACUCACUGUUUCAGGAGUCAGGCAGAAGAAGGGUUAAAUUGCAAUAGUGUAAGAACAUAGCAGAGCAAAAGUCACUGUGUUAUUUCUUGGACUGGUUUCUGCCUAACCAGUUACCGUUUCUCAAGCCCUCUGAAAGCAUGCCAAAAGCUACCUGCAGAGGCAGUGGCCGGCCAGCAGCCAGCACGGGCUGUUCCAGUCUCCGGGCACAAUGCCAAGCAGCUUUUACAGUUAUCUUUUCAAUUGGCAUCUCAUUUGCUUUUAUUUUAAGCAGGGUCUUUUGGUGGAAAGUACACUGAACUUAAGACUCUGAGUACCUGGGUGCUCAUCCAGAGACUACAGCAGGCUAACUCACCUUCUGGAGCUCUCAGCUGCCAUUGAGGGGCAAGUGGAGGUUAUUAUAUCAGGGCUCUUUAGUGGUGUUGCUUAGGUCCACAGUUCAAGACCAGGAGUUGGAAAACAACAGUCCAGAGAUACAUCUGAAAGGUUUCAUGCCCAUAGCUUCCAUCAUCCCUUCUUUUCUCCUGCCAGUUUUCCAUGUCCUCAGAGAUGUGCAGAGAGGGGAAAGUUUUCUAUAGCACAAAUGAGCAGCUUUGGGGACCUCUCCCUUGCCUCUGGCAAAUUCCUUAUGGUUUGGAAGAAAAAUCCAUCUCUAUCAAGUUCUUUCAGGAUCUAUCUUUGAUUGCCUUAAUUAUCUCAAAGCCAUGUUUU